AAUACUUAUGAUGACCAAAAUUGUCCAUCCACCAUGUUUUGAAACUAGACAUUUUUAAUUCUUGCCUAGUAAUUGUUUCAAUAUUUGCCUCCACUUACAUAUGAUAUAUUGUGAAAAUCGAUGUAGCUAUUUUAUGUCACUAACAAGAGUUGACAAAAAAAAAAAAGGGUUGACGGCGAAUUAUUUUUUAGUAUCGUAUGUUUGCCUCGGAACACAAUCAACUAAAUAAAUCCAUACCCGUGCCUGCAUGAGUUUUCGAAAAGUACGACAAUCGUACGACGCUUAAGAGUCUACGUAACCCAGUUACAGUAUAUACAAUGGCGCUGUAUUGCCAAUAUUUUAUAGAUUAACUACUAGAUACAUGGUUCAUCACUUAAUACUAAGAUCACGAUCGGAACAGCCUAAGUAACACGUAUGAGCUUUAUGUCUAUCAUAGAAGAGAAACAGAUCUUUUUCGAAUACGUGCAAUCGGAGCUAGGAGAUACAUCUGUAUAUUUAUAGAUUACUUAGAUUAGAUAAAUUUUAUUUCAUUUAUCGAGGCUGAUUUUUGCAAUUCAUUGUACGAAUCACUAGAUGAUAACCUUUCGACCUCAACUAGUGAAGCACAUCCGCUACCCACAAUAUUAGCUUAUUAGCAGAAGCCUAUUUGUUAAAAACAGAACACAGUGUAAACGUACAGCCCUCUUUCGUACAUAACAAAGAUGGUAUGAACAGAUCGCUAAGAGGAUAUAGUGUCAAAAUGAGUAGUACGCAUCUCUAUCUAUUAAAUGUCCUAGAAACUGCUAGAAGAUACGUGUAUUCAGAUGAAAGAGCAAAAAAAAAACGUAUUUUUUUAUAUUGCGACGCAUAUAAGUAUUGGCUAUUCCGAGAAAUACAAGGGGUUAAAACAAAUCGGCUAUAAAAAUCCUACUAUUCGAUAGAAAUGUCUAUUUUUAACUUGGUUAACAAUGCUUUGUUAUUAUUAGGGUAAGGCAGCAAUAUAACCAAACAGGUAACAGACGAGUUUAAGGCAAUCUGUCUUAUUAUUCUGUCUGUAAUUUUAUUUCGUUGACACGUAUAUUCUUAUUUGUAACACAUUAUACAAGAUGAAAAACGAAUUCACUGAAGGCCAGAAUAGUUAUGUCAUUAGCGCACGUCAUCGCUAUCUUCAUCAUCUCGAAGAUCGAUGUCAACAAAGCCCGAUUCAUCAUCACGUAUUGCUGUGUAUCGGACGACAAUGUCCGACUUACUGGCGUCGACUUCAUUACUACUACUAUAGCGUGCACUCCCUCCGGUCAUCAGCCACUUGUUUCAAUGCAACCCUUCAUCAGUCAGCGGUAUGAAAGAGCAACGAGGUGACCGUCAUUCCUGGUAAGCUUAUGGCUAUGUGUUCUGCUCUCCAGAACAAACUCUUCUUGAAUACGACUUCGAGUGUGAGGAGUCUGUGGCAAAGUACCAGAGCCAUAUGAAGAGCACCGAAGCCAGCGCCGUCACAGACUCUGUACAGCAUAUACACAUACACAUCGACUUUAUCUUUACCUAAAAUCCAUGAUGAUAUGCUGCCUAUCAGUUCGCCUAUGAAAGGGGUACAAGAGAGAGACCAUCGAUUCAUGGAAUGUCGUCGGUGGCUAGGCAACACUUUCUCGGGACUCUGCUUGACACUGAGUACAGAUAUAACGUGUCGACGAUGCUGUAUAAGAGCAAGUGUUCCAAGGAUGAGCGUUCCGGGUGAGGAAAGUGCAUUUUCGACAAUUCGUCCAUUUCAGCUUUAACCGAGCUCAAAAACUACAGAAGCAGCCCAAGGAAGGGUUGUUAUUAGACUUCUGCCAAGGUCAAAGAUAAGAUCUUAGAUCAAGGAAGUGCACUCCGCCUCGAUCGGCCAUUUGACCACAAAUGAAAAGCAAGCUGUUAAUUAGUGAAGAAAAUCAGCCAAAAGAACUAAACUAUUGUCAGGCAUCUUGCAUGUAUGUGAUUUCUGGACUGGAUGAGGCGCAUAGGAAGACAAGAUUUGCCAUGUGCCCUCGGUAUUACGCCCGGCGUCAGGGGACACGCCACAAUGAUACGUUGCUCUCUAGAUUUAUCACCUGUGAUAAAAAGUGGAUUUUUACUUCGACAUAAGGCAGAGAAACAAAUGACUAGCUCUGAAGAAUACGCCUGAGUCCAGAGUAAGGCCGGACCUUCAUUUUAAGAAGAUCAUCAUUUGAAUUUGGUGAAACUAGAGAAAUCUCCUACGCUGAGGAAUGUUUAGAACGCAAGGAUCUAUAUAGAGCCUAAUCACAUCCUGUAAACGAGGCUAUCCAAGAAAAAAUUCCCAUCAAGUAGGCAGUCAUCUUUCUUCACAACAGUACCAAGCCGCGCAUACUAAAUAUUGUAAAAAUCGCUCAGCAAGAGUUUGAACGGGAGAUUGUUUUGCAGUCAUUGUACAGCUUAGACGUCGCUCCAACGGAUUACCAUCUACUCUGCUCACAGGCAAAGAAAAUUUUUAACCGUUGAUUUAAAUGUAAAAAAAGCCAAAACCUGGCUAGAAGGGUUCUUCAACCCCAGAGCUAAAAACCUGUGGCGAAGCGGAAUAACUAAAUUGGCUGCGAAAUUGUAUAAUAUUGAGG